AAGCCAGUGGUGAACUCCACAUACGCAUCCUUUGCUGAGGAUACGGUUAACGGAGCGAAAGCGACGUUCAACCUCAAAAGAAGCAGAGGGGGCUUAGUGGUGGGGUGACUGCGUACCUUUUGUAUAAUGGGUCAGCGACUUAUAUUCUGUAGCAAGGUUAACCGAAUAGGGGAGCCGGAGGGAAACCGAGUCUUAAUUGGGCGUUAAGUUGCAGGGUAUAGACCCGAAACCCGGUGAUCUAGCCAUGGGCAGGUUGAAGGUUGGGUAACACUAACUGGAGGACCGAACCGACUAAUGUUGAAAAAUUAGCGGAUGACCUGUGGCUGGGGGUGAAAGGCCAAUCAAACCGGGAGAUAGCUGGUUCUCCCCGAAAGCUAUUUAGGUAGCGCCUCGUGAAUUCAUCUCCGGGGGUAGAGCACUGUUUCGGCUAGGGGGUCAUCCCGACUUACCAACCCGAUGCAAACUGCGAAUACCGGAGAAUGUUAUCACGGGAGACACACGGCGGGUGCUAACGUCCGUCGUGAAGAGGGAAACAACCCAGACCGCCAGCUAAGGUCCCAAAGUCAUGGUUAAGUGGGAAACGAUGUGGGAAGGCCCAGACAGCCAGGAUGUUGGCUUAGAAGCAGCCAUCAUUUAAAGAAAGCGUAAUAGCUCACUGGUCGAGUCGGCCUGCGCGGAAGAUGUAACGGGGCUAAACCAUGCACCGAAGCUGCGGCAGCGAACGUAUCACCCAAGACAACUUUGCGGAGUUGACGAUUGACGGAGCGAAGCGACGUCAAAGCGUUCAUUAAAGUCGAGUUGGCUUAGGGAUACGUUCGUUGGGUAGGGGAGCGUUCUGUAAGCCUGUGAAGGUGUGUCGUGAGGCAUGCUGGAGGUAUCAGAAGUGCGAAUGCUGACAUAAGUAACGAUAAAGCGGGUGAAAAGCCCGCUCGCCGGAAGACCAAGGGUUCCUGUCCAACGUUAAUCGGGGCAGGGUGAGUCGACCCCUAAGGCGAGGCCGAAAGGCGUAGUCGAUGGGAAACGGGUUAAUAUUCCCGUACUUGGUGUUACUGCGAAGGGGGGACGGAGAAGGCUAUGUUGGCCGGGCGACGGUUGUCCCGGUUUAAGCGUGUAGGCUGGUUUUCCAGGCAAAUCCGGAAAAUCAAGGCUGAGGCGUGA
rnacentral:rRNA from 1 species